rnacentral:tRNA from 1 species
UGGGUUGUGGCUCAGUGGUGAAGCACUCACCUAGCAUGUGUGAGGCACUGGGUUCAAUCCUCAGCACCACAU